GUGAACGCUGGCGGUAGGCCUAACACAUGCAAGUCGAACGGCAGCACAGUAAGAGCUUGCUCUUACGGGUGGCGAGUGGCGGACGGGUGAGGAAUACAUCGGAAUCUACUUUUUCGUGGGGGAUAACGUAGGGAAACUUACGCUAAUACCGCAUACGACCUACGGGUGAAAGCAGGGGAUCUUCGGACCUUGCGCGAUUGAAUGAGCCGAUGUCGGAUUAGCUAGUUGGCGGGGUAAAGGCCCACCAAGGCGACGAUCCGUAGCUGGUCUGAGAGGAUGAUCAGCCACACUGGAACUGAGACACGGUCCAGACUCCUACGGGAGGCAGCAGUGGGGAAUAUUGGACAAUGGGCGCAAGCCUGAUCCAGCCAUACCGCGUGGGUGAAGAAGGCCUUCGGGUUGUAAAGCCCUUUUGUUGGGAAAGAAAAGCAGCAGGUUAAUACCCCGCUGUUCUGACGGUACACAAAGAAUAAGCACCGGCUAACUUCGU
rnacentral:rRNA from 1 species